UACGUAGGGUGCAAGCGUUAAUCGGAAUUACUGGGCGUAAAGCGUGCGCAGGCGGCUUUGCAAGACAGAUGUGAAAUCCCCGGGCUUAACCUGGGAACUGCAUUUGUGACUGCAAGGCUAGAGUACGGUAGAGGGGGAUGGAAUUCCGCGUGUAGCAGUGAAAUGCGUAGAUAUCGAGAGGAACACCUGCGGCGAAGGCGGGUUGCUGGGCUGAUACUGACGCUGAUGCGCGAAAGCCAGGGGAGCGAACGGG
rnacentral:rRNA from 1 species